UACGGGGGGGGCAAGCGUUGUUCGGAAUUACUGGGCGUAAAGGGCGCGUAGGCGGCCUGCUAAGUCGAACGUGAAAUCCCUGGGCUCAACCCAGGAACUGCGUCCGAUACUGGUUGGCUUGAAUCCGGGAGAGGGAUGUGGAAUUCCAGGUGUAGCGGUGAAAUGCGUAGAUAUCUGGAGGAACACCGGGUGGCGAAGGCGACAUCCUGGACCGGUAUUGACGCUGAGGCGCGAAAGCCAGGGGAGCAAACGGG
rnacentral:rRNA from 1 species